GAUGAAGAACGUAGCGAAAUGCGAUAAGUAAUGCGAAUUGCAGAAUUCCAGUGAGUCAUCGAAUCUUUGAACGCACAUUGCGCCCUUUGGUAUUCCGAAGGGCAUGCCUGUUCGAGCGUCAUUAUCACCCCUCAAGCCCUCGGCUUGGUGUUGGACGGUUUGGUGGAGGCCCCCUCGGGGGUUCCUGCCCCUCCCAAAGACAAUGACGGCGGCCUCGUUGGACCCCCGGUACACUGAGUUCUUCACGGGACACGUAUCGGACACAUGGGUUUACGGGACACGGUCUGCCUCCCCUCAGGGAGAACCUUUCUAAGGUUGACCUCGGGUCAGGUAGGGAUACCCGCUGAACUUAAGCAUAUCAAUAAGCGGAGGA
rnacentral:misc_RNA from 1 species